CCUACGGGUGGCAUCAGUGAGGAAUAUUGGUCAAUGGGCGUAAGCCUGAACCAGCCAAGUCGCGUGAGGGAUGAAGGUUCUAUGGAUCGUAAACCUCUUUUGGCGGGGAGCAAUGCCGGGCACGUGUGCCCGGAGGGAGAGUACCCGCAGAAUAAGCAUCGGCUAACUCCGUGCCAGCAGCCGCGGUAAUACGUAGGUGGCGAGCGUUAUCCGGAAUGAUUGGGCGUAAAGGGUGCGCAGGCGGUCCUGCAAGUCUGGAGUGAAACGCAUGAGCUCAACUCAUGCAUGGCUUUGGAAACGGGAGGACUGGAGAGCAGGAGAGGGCGGUGGAACGCCAUGUGUAGCGGUAAAAUGCGUAGAUAUAUGGAAGAACACCAGUGGCGAAGGCGGCCGCCUGGCCUGUUGCUGACGCUGAGGCACGAAAGCGUGGGGAGCAAAUAGGAUUAGAUACCCUUGUAGUC
rnacentral:rRNA from 1 species